rnacentral:rRNA from 1 species
ACACAUGCAAGUCGAGCGAGGAACUUCGGUUCCUAGCGGCGGACGGGUGAGUAACACGUGGGCAACCUGCCUCACAAUGGGGGAUAGCCNNNNNNAAGGAAGAUUAAUACCCCAUAACACAAAGGAAACGCAUGUUUCUUUUGCCAAAGAAUUUCGUUGUGAGAUGGGCCCGCGGCGCAUUAGCUUGUUGGUGAGGUAACGGCUCACCAAGGCCACGAUGCGUAGCCGACCUGAGAGGGUGAUCGGCCACAUUGGAACUGAGACACGGUCCAGACUCCUACGGGAGGCAGCAGUGGGGAAUAUUGCACAAUGGAGGAAACUCUGAUGCAGCAACGCCGCGUGAGUGAUGAAGGUCUUCGGAUUGUAAAGCUCUGUCUUCUGGGACGAUAAUGACGGUACCAGAGGAGGAAGCCACGGCUAACUACGUGCCAGCAGCCGCGGUAAUACGUAGGUGGCAAGCGUUGUCCGGAUUUACUGGGCGUAAAGGAUGUGUAGGCGGAUAUUUAAGUGAGAUGUGAGGUCCCCGGGCUCAACUUGGGGGCUGCAUUUCAAACUGGAUAUCUAGAGUGCAGGAGAGGAAAGCGGAAUUCCUAGUGUAGCGGUGAAAUGCGUAGAGAUUANGAAG